rnacentral:lncRNA from 1 species
AGAGGGUUAAUGGGACUUGGGAGGGAGGUAGUUAAGAUUAAUUUCCAAGUGCAGUAGUGCAGCCCAGUGCUGGGGAGGUUCGUGGCAUCUGAGGCCCAGAGACUGGAGAACAGAACAUGGGGCUGCCGUUUUAUGGCCCUGGGAAGCGAAGACAAUCAUAGGCCAAGUUACUGGUAGAGCCAACGCCAUCUUUUCCUGCUACUCUUGGAAUCCAGGCAUGUCAGUGCUCACAAGGCUAAUUAGAUAAAGCCAAGCGCAAUGAGGUCUUCAACCAAGUUUUAGAAAAUGUCUCUGACCUUAAAAUGAUAGGACGCUGAUGAACUCUAAAGAGUCUUACUAGGGGUUCUGGUGCUGAGAGUCAGAGCAGCAGUCGCAGCUGGAGAAAAAAAAAUCUUUAAGGAGAUACCAACCUCCCAAGUCAGUGUGAGGCUAUCAAAGACUUCCGUAGGUUUGCGUCUGGCUAACCUACCAUCGGAAAGGUUUGGUGGCAGAGGAGAGCGCCAGAAAGUUCCAAGGCAACCAUCCUGCAUCGGUAAACACAGACAAGCCUACAGCUGCCGGCACACAACUAAAGUACCCUCCUGCCCAACACAGGAGAUUACCGCUCCUUGUAACCAGUCAAGCCUCUCCUUAAAGAGGGCUUUAGUGCCCAAUUAUGUCUCCAUAGAAACCUGAGAAGCAUGAGCAAGUUCAUCAGCAUAUCUCCGACCUCCCCUCCCCGCGCGCGGUGCUGAGCAGACCUGUGCAGGACCAACCUGUGUGGAAAAUGACAGUGUUUUUCCUGAGCCCCGAAGGAAGCCGGAGGUUUCGAAGCAGUCCUUUGGCGGUUAGGCGGACGUGGAUGGUGGAUAAGGAGAAUUUGGGAGACAACAGCAUGUCUUCGAAGCCAGUGGGAGAACUUCGCAGGGGAAGCAGCUUUUCCAGGGACCAUCACAUACUGUGUCUCUUGGCAACUCGGGGUUCUUCCAGGCCAAGAGAUACAGCCAGAGAAAAACAAGCUUACAUGCUAAUGCCAGGCCACCCAGAUUGGGGGGUGCGUGGGGGGGGGGGUAGCUAGAGUUAGCUAUCCCAGAGCUCCAGGCUUCCGUUUGCUCUUCCAGAUGUUGCUAACAAACAAUGCCCUUCGUCUGAGCAAGAUCUGUGAGGAGCAGCUCAGGAAGCAAGCAGCCUGAAUUACAUCACACUGUGCAUGCCGCGGGUUGUUGUGGUUCCCGACUGGGAUGGAAAGGGGAGGAGAAAGUGGGUGGUCUCGGGAGCUUUAUGUAACAGCCAAUGAUGUCGCAGGUCCUGUCACUAUUUGGAACGGGGCGAAAUGAAAUAAACCACCUCACAUGCCU